CGUAUCCUUUUCAGUUUGUUCUUCAUUAUUCUAAUUUACUUCCUCAACCAGAUAAUGGGGUCGGUUCAUCUUCAGCUGCUUUCCAUUCCCUUGUCUGGCUAUUAUUUUUUGAUAUUGGAGACUGCUAAAUUUGUCUGUUAUUUUCGGUUAUGUCCUUAGGUCCUAGACACCCAUUUUACCAGCUGAAGAGGUCAAACCUGCUUUUGACUGUCAACAUGAAGGUGUUACUUUAAAUUGAUCAUCUCCAGGCCGUGGCAAGAAGAAUGGAGCAGAGUGAAUACCUUGAUGGCUGGUCUUUGGAACGAAAUCAUGUAUCAAUUGUUGCCGAAUAAUUUAGUUGAAUGGUUGGUGUUAAGGAGAAAGAGCCUUAGCUAAGCUUGAACAACUUUCCAGCGCACAUAGAUCACCCGAUUUGAAUCUUGCAUUCGUGCUCACUUUUGUGCUUCUAAACAAAAUGAUUAGCGGUUCCUCCCACCUUGUUUUGUUUUUGUUUGUACAGUUUAUUAAUUUGUCCGAUGCUAGAUUAAGACGGGGCUUGCCAAGUGCAAACCCUGAAGCACCGCUGCACUUAAUUA